UGGCUUAGUGGUAGAGUGCUUGCCUAGCAUGCAUGAAACCCUGAGUUCGAUUUCUCAG
rnacentral:tRNA from 1 species